UACAGAGGGUGCGAGCGUUGUCCGGAAUCACUGGGCGUAAAGGGCGCGUAGGUGGCGCCGCAAGUCCAUGGUGAAAGCUCGAUGCUCAACAUCGAGUCGGCCACGGAGACUGCGGGGCUCGAGCACUGUAGGGGCAGAUGGAAUUCCGGGUGUAGCGGUGGAAUGCGUAGAGAUCCGGAAGAACACCGGUGGCGAAGGCGGCGACCUGGUCCUUUUACUGACGCUGAGGCGCGAAAGCGUGGGGAGCAAACAGG
rnacentral:rRNA from 1 species